GAUGAACGCUAGCUACAGGCUUAACACAUGCAAGUCGAGGGACCGGCGCACGGGUGAGUAACACGUAUCCAACCUGCCCUUUACUCGGGGAUAGCCUUUCGAAAGAAAGAUUAAUACCCGAUGUAAAGGAUGGGGAUGCGUUCCAUUAGGUUGUUGGUGAGGUAACGGCUCACCAAGCCUUCGAUGGAUAGGGGUUCUGAGAGGAAGGCCCCCCACAUUGGAACUGAGCCACGGUCCAAACUCCGACGGGAGGCAACAGUGAGGAAUAUUGGUCAAUGGGCGUUAGCCUGACCCAGCCAAGUAGCGUGAAGGAGGAAGGCUUUUUGGUCUUAAACUUCUUUUAUAUAAGAAUAUGUAUUAUAUGAAGAAGGAUCGGCUAACUCCGUGCCAGCAGCCGCGGUAAUAC
rnacentral:rRNA from 1 species